GCCGGUGUGGUGAAAUUGGUAGACACGACGGAUUCAAAAUCCGUUUCCUUCGGGAGUGGCGGUUCAAGUCCGCCCACCGGUACCA
rnacentral:tRNA from 35 species